rnacentral:lncRNA from 1 species
UUAUUUGUGGCCAUACAGUUGUCCCAGCAUGUGUUUUAAAAACUACAAUCGGAAGAAAUUCAGAUCCAAAUCGCAACAAAGGAUACAGAAAAACAAGACAACGACAACAGAAUGCAAGACACAGGUUUCAAAGUCCAAUAAGCGAAAACAACACUAAUCUCAACUGGGAAGCGUCAACACUCCACCAACCAAACCAACUUUUCUUUUCCCAAAGAACCCACAAAGCAAAAAAAGUUUCAGCUUCGAAUAAGGAAAGCCCAAAAGGGGUCAUUCAGCAAGUUCCAUUACAUGCGGAAAAGGAAGCGCAAAACCAGCCUGGCAGAGGCAGACCCUCAAAUUUCUGCAAGUACCUG